GCUAACUACGUGCCAGCAGCCGCGGUAAUACGUAGGGGGCAAGCGUUGUCCGGAUUUACUGGGUGUAAAGGGCGCGCAGGCGGAAUGGAAAGUCAGUGGUGAAAUCCUACAGCUUAACUGUAGAACUGCCUUUGAUACUUUCAUUCUUGAGUUCGGGAGAGAGAGACGGAAUUCCAGGUGUAGUGGUGAAAUACGUAGAUAUCUGGAAGAACACCAGUUGCGAAGGCGGUCUCUUGGUCCGAUACUGACGCUGAGGCGCGAAAGCGUGGGGAGCAAACAGGAUUAGAUACCCGUGUAGUC
rnacentral:rRNA from 1 species